rnacentral:rRNA from 7 species
ACGAACGCUGGCGGCAGGCCUAACACAUGCAAGUCGAGCGCACCUUCGGGUGAGCGGCGGACGGGUUAGUAACGCGUGGGAACGUACCCUUUUCUACGGAAUAGCCUUUGGAAACGAAGAGUAAUACCGUAUACGCCCUUUGGGGGAAAGAUUUAUCGGAGAAGGAUCGGCCCGCGUUAGAUUAGAUAGUUGGUGGGGUAACGGCCUACCAAGUCUACGAUCUAUAGCUGGUUUUAGAGGAUGAUCAGCAACACUGGGACUGAGACACGGCCCAGACUCCUACGGGAGGCAGCAGUGGGGAAUCUUAGACAAUGGGCGCAAGCCUGAUCUAGCCAUGCCGCGUGAGUGAUGAAGGCCUUAGGGUCGUAAAGCUCUUUCGCCUGUGAUGAUAAUGACAGUAGCAGGUAAAGAAACCCCGGCUAACUCCGUGCCAGCAGCCGCGGUAAUACGGAGGGGGUUAGCGUUGUUCGGAAUUACUGGGCGUAAAGCGCACGUAGGCGGAUUGGAAAGUUGGGGGUGAAAUCCCGGGGCUCAACCCCGGAACUGCCUCCAAAACUAUCAGUCUAGAGUUCGAGAGAGGUGAGUGGAAUUCCAAGUGUAGAGGUGAAAUUCGUAGAUAUUUGGAGGAACACCAGUGGCGAAGGCGGCUCACUGGCUCGAUACUGA